AUGGGAAAAACCACUGGUUCACUUGUUCUACUUGUCAUUUGUAUGGCAUUCAUUCUGAAUGGCUAUAGUGCUGUUGAGGGUGCAAGAAGUGGGAAUCAAAUGAAGAAAGAUGAAGCUGGUAUUAACAAAUAUCAUAUAACAGCCAAAGGGUUGGGGUAUUUCCCAGGGUUUGGGACAUGUUUGAAAUUGCGUACGUUGUGUGUACUUAAUCCUCCUAAAUAUUGUGAUCAGUACAUUAAGAAGUGUAAAAGAUAA